AUACAGAGGGUGCGAGCGUUAAUCGGAAUUACUGGGCGUAAAGCGUGCGUAGGCGGCAGAUUAAGUCAGAUGUGUAAUCCCAGGGCUCAACCUUGGAACUGCAUCUGAUACUGGUCAGCUAGAGUUUAGGAGAGGGAAGUAGAAUUUCAGGUGUAGCGGUGAAAUGCAUAGAUAUCUGAAGGAAUACCAGUGGCGAAGGCGGCUUCCUGGCCUAAAACUGACGCUGAGGUGCGAAAGCGUGGGUAGCAAACGGGAUUAGAAACCCCAGUAGUCC
rnacentral:rRNA from 1 species